AUGAAGCUUUCGGGUCGUAAAGCACUGUUGUAUGGGAAGAACAAGCUAGAAUAGGAAAUGAUUUUAGUUUGACGUACCAUACCAGAAAGGGACGGCUAAAUACGUGCCAGCAGCCGCGGUAAUACGUAUGUCCCGAGCGUUAUCCGGAUUUAUUGGGCGUAAAGCGAGCGCAGACGGUUUAUUAAGUCUGAUGUGAAAGCCCGGAGCUCAACUCCGGAAUGGCAUUGGAAACUGGUUAACUUGAGUGCAGUAGAGGUAAGUGGAACUCCAUGUGUAGCGGUGGAAUGCGUAGAUAUAUGGAAGAACACCAGUGGCGAAGGCGGCUUACUGGACUGCAACUGACGUUGAGGCUCGAAAGUGUGGGUAGCAAACAGGAUUAGAUACCCUGGUAGUCCACACCGUAAACGAUGAACACUAGGUGUUAGGAGGUUUCCGCCUCUUAGUGCCGAAGCUAACGCAUUAAGUGUUCCGCCUGGGGAGUACGACCGCAAGGUUGAAACUCAAAGGAAUUGACGGGGACCCGCACAAGCGGUGGAGCAUGUGGUUUAAUUCGAAGCAACGCGAAGAACCUUACCAGGUCUUGACAUCCUUUGAAGCUUUUAGAGAUAGAAGUGUUCUCUUCGGAGACAAAGUGACAGGUGGUGCAUGGUCGUCGUCAGCUCGUGUCGUGAGAUGUUGGGUUAAGUCCCGCAACGAGCGCAACCCUUAUUGUUAGUUGCCAGCAUUCAGAUGGGCACUCUAGCGAGACUGCCGGUGACAAACCGGAGGAAGGCGGGGACGACGUCAGAUCAUCAUGCCCCUUAUGACCUGGGCUACACACGUGCUACAAUGGCGUAUACAACGAGUUGCCAACCCGCGAGGGUGAGCUAAUCUCUUAAAGUACGUCUCAGUUCGGAUUGUAGUCUGCAACUCGACUACAUGAAGUCGGAAUCGCUAGUAAUCGCGGAUCAGCACGCCGCGGUGAAUACGUUCCCGGGUCUUGUACACACCGCCCGUCACACCAUGGGAGUUUGUAAUGCCCAAAGCCGGUGGCCUAACCUUUUAGGAAGGAGCCGUCUAAGGCAGAACAG
rnacentral:rRNA from 1 species